rnacentral:rRNA from 1 species
ACUCAAAUGAAUUGACGGGGACCCGCACAAGCAGCGGAGCGUGUGGUUUAAUUCGAUGUGACGCGAAGAACCUUACCUGGGCUUGACAUGUAGUCGCAACCUCUUGAAAGAGAGGCCUCCUUCGGGACGGCUGCACAGAUGUUGCAUGGCUGUCGUCAGCUCGUGUCGUGAGAUGUUGGGUUAAGUCCCGCAACGAGCGCAACCCUUGUCCUUAGUUGCAAAUCUAAGGAGACUGCCGGAAACAAACCGGAGGAAGGUGGGGAUGACGUCAAGUCAGCAUGACUCUUACGUCCAGGGCUACACACACGCUACAAUGGCCUUUACAGUGAGAAGCCACCCGGCGACGGGGAGCAGAUCUCCAAAGGGGGCCUAAGUUCAGAUUGCACUCUGAAACUCGAGUGCAUGAAGUCGGAGUUGCUAGUAACCGCGUGUCAGCAUAGCGCGGUGAAUAUGUUCCCGGGUCUUGCACACACCGCCCGU